rnacentral:rRNA from 1 species
GAUGAACGCUGGCGGCGUGCUUAACACAUGCAAGUCGAACGGAAAGGCCCAAGCUUGCUUGGGUACUCGAGUGGCGAACGGGUGAGUAACACGUGGGUGAUCUGCCCUGCACUUCGGGAUAAGCCUGGGAAACUGGGUCUAAUACCGGAUAGGACCACUUCUUGGAUGUUGUGGUGGAAAGUUUUUUCGGUGUGGGAUGAGCUCGCGGCCUAUCAGCUUGUUGGCGGGGUAAUGGCCUACCAAGGCGUCGACGGGUAGCCGGCCUGAGAGGGUGUACGGCCACAUUGGGACUGAGAUACGGCCCAGACUCCUACGGGAGGCAGCAGUGGGGAAUAAUGCACAAUGGGCGCAAGCCUGAUGCAGCGACGCCGCGUGGGGGAUGACGGCCUUCGGGUUGUAAACUCCUUUCGCUAGGGACGAAGCGUUUUGUGACGGUACCUGGAGAAGAAGCACCGGCUAACUACGUG